UACUUACAGAUACAUAUUACCUCACCA
rnacentral:piRNA from 1 species